rnacentral:rRNA from 1 species
UACAGAGGGUGCGAACGUUGCUCGGAAUUACUGGGCGUAAAGCGCGUGUAGGCGGGACGGUAAGUCAGAUGUGAAAUCCCCGAGCUCAACUCGGGAACUGCAUCUGAAACUGCCGACCUGGAGUGUCGGAGAGGGCGGCGGAAUUCCUGGUGUAGAGGUGAAAUUCGUAGAUAUCAGGAGGAACACCGGUGGCGAAGGCGGCCGCCUGGACGAUUACUGACGCUGAGACGCGAAAGCGUGGGGAGCAAACAGG